GGGGAAGGAUCUCUUUCUGGAGAUUGCUCCAUUUGGAGUUUUUUAUUGUGAGCCUAGAUCCUUGGAUACAGGUGAGCGUUUCUUCUUUGAUUGUCUCUUUUCCACCAUGAUACUUCUUCCAACUGUAACACCUGUAAAGUACCAUCCUCACUGUACUACUCUUCCAAAUACACAGUUGGUGAGCCAGGAAGGCCAAAAAAACAAAAAAGUAUUUCCUUUAGAAUAUCUUUAAAUUGUUCAGCGGGGAAGAACAUUACUUCCUCCUAGACAAAACAAUUCCCAGACAGAUCCAAGGAUUUCUGGGAUCACCUUACUAUGAACUGGUGACUAUAAUUGAAGAAUGGAGUUCCCUGCAGGUUACAGGAAAUACUCCUUCCCCAACCCACAUGGCAGAUCAUUCUCAUGGAUUGAGCGAAGGGAUAUUAGUUACAAAAGAACAUCAGCUAGCUGCUUCUACUGUGGCAUGGCCACUAUUAAUUGCUUUAAAUCAGGCUGAAAUGACAACCAAUACUUUAGAAAGUGAAAAUCUACUGUUAUGAGAUCGGAUUGAGAAACUUGAACAACAACUUGGUAUACUGACAGGGGAAAAAAUCAAGUCUAAAUUUCCCAAUAAAACAGGUCCAUAACAUUUCAGUAGAUGAUACGCAGGUUCCUGAAUUGAUCAACCUAGUGGAUCCAGAAGACAAAGCUUCCAAAUCAGAUCUCAAAGCUCUAUCUGCGAUGGAUUCCUUUGAGAUCUGUCCUAUAGUAACUCAAAAAACAACAACAACAACAAAAUACAAGAUAGAUCACCAGGGGUGCCCCCUGAUCAGUGGCCCCCUGCCCAAAUACAUUUACAUGUAAUAGCCUGUCCUUAUAUGGCCAUGGAAUUAAUGGACUUGGUACAGUGAUUCAGACAGAAGCCCAGAGAAAGCGUACCAGCCUGGCUUCUCCGAUGAUGGGAUUCAUGGAUGGAAAGUGUUACGGUCAGUGGGUCAGAAAUCUGUAAAUUGGCAUCUAUUACUGUUCACCCUGCCCUUAGGGGCUAUAUGCUGCUGUCCAGUAUACCAACAAGAAUCACUCGAUAAUAGAUUGGUUGAUGGCAGCAUGCCAUAUGGUUUGGCCAAUAAAUCUGACAUACUAUUACACACAGGUUUAUGGUCCUUCACAGAAGACCUUCAAAACUAUAUUCACGAACUGAGUAUAAGAGAGGUGAUAUACAAAGACGCAUUUCAAAGCCCACACCUGGUAAAAUUCUCAAUAGGCAUGAGAGACCUGAUCCUGCAACAGGCUCCUUCCCAUCUGUAUGGAACUCUAGUUUCCAUACUAAACUCCCUAGUAGCCUCAGAGUCCGUGGUUCAACAGGCUGCCCAGCUGGUAGCCGAUCUAGGGGAGACAGAGCGCCUUUGGACCAGGUGCAGUAUCUGAACAUUGGAAGGGGCAGAGGUCCUUCUAGUAACUAAAACCAGGAGACCCACCCUACGAACUCCUCAAUCAGGACCCAUACGGGUAUCCUGAUAACAAAUGUUUAAUGGCUUAAUCCGGGCUGGGGUUCAAUUUGCGAAAAUUGAUCACCAGCCCAAUCAUGUCCUCCUCCAGCUAUGGAGGCAGUUGAAGGACGAUCAAAAAUUUCAAAAUCAUCCCCCAAAACUUGGGGUGAGGAUUAUUGACAAAUCCAUAGUUAAGAACACCCUGCCAAUUCAGGGGUGGAUGAAAGAUCUGACUCACAUUCCUAAGACGAGGGUGGCCAAGCAUAAACGGUGGUGUGAUGGGUCGCCUAUCUUAGCCAGAGGAAUAGUCUAUCUUCAUCACCACUGAAAGAACUCAAGAAGAUUGUAGGCCCAGUGAUAUAUCACAGUGAGGCACCAAAAGACACAUUGGUUGCUCCACCAUAGAAGAGUCCCAUUCAGGAGGGGAAAUAUCCCAUUCCUGAAGAUGCCUGGCACACAGAUGGGUCCAGCAAGAGCAACCUGAGUUAGUGGAGAGCAGUAGCAUACCAUCCCUCCACUGAGACAGUCUGGUUUGAAGAGGCGGAUGGUCAGAGCAGCCAAUGGGCAGAACUGCAAGCCAUGUGGAUGGUUAUAACUAAGGAACCCGGUGAUGGUGUCCUGAAUAUCUGCACAGAUAGUUGGGCUGUGUACUGGGGGCUCACUCUUUGGAUUGCACAGUGGGCCACCCAAGAAUGGACUAUCCAUGCUCGACCAAUCUUGGGCAGAGAUAUGUGGUUAGACAUGUGGAAUGCAGUUAAACACAGGACUGUAUGUGUCUAACAUGUUUCUGGUCAUCAACCUUUACAAUCACCAGGAAAUGACGAAGCGGACACACCAACCCAAGUUUGAUGGACUGAGGAUUCACCAUCUGAGAACAUCACCCAUUGAUUACAUCAGAAGCUAUGGCAUGCUGGACAAAAGACAAUAUGGGCAGCUGCUAACGCAUGGGAGCUGCCCAUGCAACUAUCUGACAUCACCCAGGCAUGCUGAGACUGUGACGCUUGCUCCAAGAUGAGACUGAGAUUGCUGCCCGCAACAACAGCCCAUCUUGCUAGAGGACACAAUCCUCUCCAGCGAUGACAGGUCAAUUAUAUUGGGCCCCUCCCUCAGUAUGAGGGGGUGAGAUAUGCCCUGACCUGCAUCGAUACCGCAAGUGGGCUACUGCAGACCUAUCCAGUGCCAAGAGCAAACCAGGCAUAUACCAUCAAGCACUUACUGAGCUCCUGUCUGCCUCCAGGACACCUCAAGUCAUCGAGAGUGACCAAGGAACUCAUUUUACUGGUACCGUGAUACAACACUGGGCAGAAGAAAACAACACUGGAUGGUGAUUCCACCUGCCAUAUAAUCCAACGGGGGCAGGACUCAUUGAACAUCGUAACGGUAUUCAUAAGGCUGCCCUGAAGAGAGAUUCACAGUCCCUGCACGGGUGGACAAAGGGACUCUAUGAAACCCUGUGGGACCUGAACGAAAGACCUAAAGAUGGCAGACCCAGUGCCCUGAAAAUGCUACAGACAACAUGGGCCUCCCCGCUUAGGAUCCAAAUUACAGGCACUGAUAAUUGGGUAAAACCCCAGAUUGGCAAUGAAAAUAACCUUCUGGUCCCUACCCCUGAGAAUUUAGAACCAGGUACCCAUAGAGUAAAAUGGCCUUGGUAGGUACAGGUAGGACCGAAGUGGUGUGCCCUUCUUGCACAAUCUCCUCCUACCUUGGAGGAGAUUACUGGAGGUGGGAAGCUCGGUAGUCCCUCCGGUAAUGGGUACAUGGCCUAUGGAUAUUGUGGUCAACACUCCAAUCUUCGUUGCUAAAGGGACCCCCCCAUCAUGUCCCUAUGUCAGAUCAGGACACCCCCUUUGAUACAGUUAUGCAGCUGCAGACAUCUGGCCGAAGAGUUUGGUAGAGGCGGCUGGGGCAUGCCCCAGUACAAGCUGAAGUGUUGACCCAGGAUAGGAAUAUGGCCUGUAUCUUGCCCUGGAGGGCAGACCUUCCCCUCCUGGUACCCCUGAAACAUCUGUAUUACUCUCUGUGAGUCUUUGAGUCUCUAGGAUCACAGAAGGAGCGAAAUACCAUUGAAGUGUUCCAGUGCUGCUGUGGGAUCAAGCACGACACCCGGUGAUGGCCUAUGUGGGACUGAUGGAACAUAGGAUGGACCUACACCACAUGACUGCAUACCUCCAGUAACACCACCAAGCACUGGCCCAUGAAAGAACAUGAACCUCAACCACACACCGAUCAUCAAUCAUCUUAAAUUGUGUCAACCUGCAUGGCGACAGGCAAUUGUAUAAGCAUCGUGGUGUCUCUGGAUCUCUCUAUUAGGGAAGGCUCACCCUCUAGCUUGCUCGAUUAUUGGUUCAUGCUAUGAAGGGGUGGAGUGUAUGGGAACUGUUGAGUCAUGGCCUGAACCACUGAUUGAGCACCUGAGGAAAGAACUGAGUCAGCUGUGGGAGCACAGGUGAAGGCAAUUCACCUGUGUGACCGGAAGGGGUGGAGCUGGGCUCCACCUCUCCUAGACCCCAUUUAAAGGCUGACUGCCACUGGGGAAGGAUCUCUUUCUGGAGUUCUUUCCUUUUUGGAGUUUUCCACUGUGAGCCUAGAUCCUUGGAUACAGGUGAGCAUUUCUUCUUUGAUUGUCUCUUUUCCACCAUGAUAAUCUUUCCAACUAUACACCUGUGAAGUACCAUCUUAACUGUGCUACUCUUCCAACUGUACAUUUGUUGACUGUACAUGCAGCUCAGGAUAUGGUUAGCUUUCUGGGCUGCAAGGGUACAUUGCUGGCUUAUGUCCAGCUUGCCAUCCACCUCAAGUCCUUUUUGGCAGGGUUGUGCACCAUCCUUAUAUCCCCCAGCUUGUUCCCAUAGCAGGAUUUGCCACAAUGCAGGUGCAAGAUCUUGCAUUUGAAUUUAUUGAACCUCAUGAGGUUCACCUGGGCCCACUGCUUGGGCCUACAUAGGUCUCUCCAGGUGGCAUCCUGUUCCUUGAAUGUGUCAACUGCAUCACACAGCUUGGUAUCAUCUAUAGCCUUGCUGAGAGUACACUUGAUCCCACUGUUGAUGACAUUAUGAAGAUGUUAAAGAGCACUAGUCCCAGUACUGACUCCUGAGGGACACCACUUGCCACUGGUCUCCAUCCCGACAUUGAGCCACUGAACACAACUCUCUGGGUACAAUCUCGUAACCAGUUUUUCAUCCACUGAACAGUCCACUUGUCAAAUCCAUAUCCUUCCAAUUUGGAGAGAAGGAUGUUAUGGGGGACUGUGUCAAAGGUCUUACUGAAGUCCAGAUAGAUGACAUCGUUGGCUCUUCCCUUGACUACUGAUGCAGUUACGCCACAUUCUGCUGUAACCUGAAUGUGGUGCCUUCCUAACACUGGCUCCACCUCCUCACACUGGUUCAUCUACAGCAGUUGUUUAAACUGUUGGAGGGAAUACAGUGAAAGACUGAAAUGACAGUGCAAAAUCAAAAGUCUUUUAAACUCCCAGUGCUCUUCUUCGAUCCUCUCCUUUGGUCAUCUUUCCUUCAUUUUGCAAAACACUAGCUUACUGAAUACAAUAGGGACACAUUGCAAAGCACAACCAGCAAGACAGUUGGGAGUAGCUGGGUUUUUUUUUGUUUGGUUGGUUUUGUUUUAAAUACAAAUGGUUCCUAAAAUCAUUUUUGUCAGAAAUAAGGCAGUGGGAAUUAGCUGAUAUCACCCUCAGUAACACUCUGGAUCAUGUAUCUCAAUAAACAGCAGUAUCUUCAUAGAACUAGUAUUCUGAGAUCAUUAAGUAUUAUGUAAUGUAAAUUACAUGAUAGAGUAAGCCAUGAGAUACUGUAAAAGCACACAGAAAAGCAGUGCCCCUCUUCUGAGUGCCUGGACUUACCUUAUGACUGCACAUGCACCACAUGCUUCUUUCAAAGGAUUCAUAACCCACUCUCAAACUAAACUGCUUGUUGUUCAUAUGACAGCAAAAUUCCAAAAGACAUUAAUUUAUGCUACUUAGGCCUAGUCUUAUUUUUGCUGACCUUCAACUUGUUAAAACGUACAGCUACCAUCUUAUGUUCCAGUGUAUCACCACCCUCUGUGUGAAAAACUUCCUCCUAAUGUCUAAUCUAAACCUCCCCUGUGUCAGUUUAAGAUCAUUCCCCCUUGUCCUAUCACUAUCCACCCUUGUAAACAGUGAAACUGUAAAACUGAAUACACAAUUCAGUUCAGAAACCAGGUAUUUUUCUGUUCCCUCCCACUUUAUUUCCAGAUUAUCGUGAUUAAGCUUACACAGAAAUAAAAUGCAGUAAAUAUCAGAGCAACCGCAUAAAGCCAGCAAUGUGAAGACGUUCUGUGCAGGGUGGGAUGAUCUUUCGAGGUCCCUUCCAAUCCCUGACAUGCUGUGAUCCUGUGGAGACCUCAGUACAAACGCAUCGCUCCAGGAUGCCUGGAGGGAGAGCACGGCAGCACUGAGCAGAUGUCCACCACCACUGCUGAGAAGGAUUCAGCCUGGGCCAUCCGCACCAAGCGCAGGUGGCUGCUGUUUCCAGGAGGAAGACGCGUCCCUCACAAUUGGCGAUAAAAGCACUGAGCUCUGUGGCUGAGUUCAAAGCUUUGCAUCAGUGGUUGGAGACAGCAGAAGGCAGGCUGCAGCCUGCAGCCACAGGGAGUCGUGCCCUGGAGAUGGGGACACAGCUCAUACCUCAUCAUCGUGGCCAGUGGGCAGUCAGCAGCUCAGCCUGGCCGCAUGGUCUCCAAAGCUGGGAAGGCAAACCGCAGCAAGCAGCUGGGCAAGCAGAAAAUACAACACAGCAAGGCUUCUUUUGACCUCCUUCUCACUCGCAUGCAAAGCUGCCUUUACCAGAAAAGUCCCUGGGACAGCGCUUCUUUGGCAGUAUUCUCUGAAUUCCUU
ensembl:lncRNA